AUUCCGAUUAUAUAAUACACAUCAGUGGGUAAUAUAUUAGCAUGCUGUUAUGAGACAUGCAUUGAGACGAAGACAAGAAGCACGAGUCAUGGGUGGUGAUGCUUAGAAAAUAAAGUACUAUCUAUGGAUUCGGAGACCAGCCACAUCACAGCCACGCGCCUCGACUCACGUGAUCAGUGCGUGGCAAGAAAGCUGUGGUGAUUCUGCGAUGGGCAUUCCCGGCGGCUCGGUAGUGAUUGCGUACUCUUUUAUUCACCCGCGCGUGUGUGUGUCUGCGUGUGUGCGUAUUUUAUCAAGUCAUCGGUCCUUCACCUCAUCAUCAUCUCGUCAUUACGGUAAGUACACAUACUCAGCUCAUCGCUUCGCGGGACAUCGCUGGAGCUCCUCGUCGAAACAUGAGUACAAAGUUACGUUUCCUAGGCGGUAGGAUAGGGUAUCAGGCUACUAACCCUCUUCCCUUGCAGGUGCACUAAUUUCCUAGAUUAUUCGGCAGAUAGCGCAGCACGGGGUAACGCCAUGCCAAGGGAUGAAGCAAUUCUCUGUGGCGAAUUGGCGCGGAGAUGAACACCAGUGGAGUGCCGCAUCUAAAAAGCAUUCCGGUAGAGAUUUGACGGCGACGAGGUAACACGAGGAAGAGGUGAUACGUUCCGCCGCCGCCGUGAUGACAAGCUGCAAAUCCAAGAUAGAAGCUCAAGGAGAAAAUCUGUUGCUUGGUUAUGAUGAAACACAUAUUAAUGGAGGUGGGAAGCACAAAGUGAAAAGACGUGCAAAGAGCAGCAGUCCAUGGUGAAAGGUACG